rnacentral:rRNA from 1 species
UACGUAGGGACCAAGCGUUGUUCGGAUUUACUGGGCGUAAAGAGCUCGUAGGCGGUCUGUCGCGUCGGCUGUGAAAACUCGGGGCUCAACCCCGAGCCUGCAGUCGAUACGGGCAGACUAGAGUGCGUGUAGGGGAGACUGGAAUUCCUGGUGUAGCGGUGAAAUGCGCAGAUAUCAGGAAGAACACCCGUGGCUAAGGCGGCUCCUCUAGUACGGUACUGACGCUGAGACGCGAAAGCGUGGGGGAGCG